rnacentral:rRNA from 1 species
AGAGUUUGAUCCUGGCUCAGAGUGAACGCUGGCGGCGUGCCUAAUACAUGCAAGUCGAACGAUGAAGCUUCUAGCUUGCUAGAGUGCUGAUUAGUGGCGCACGGGUGAGUAACGCAUAGGUUAUGUGCCUCUUAGUUUGGGAUAGCCAUUGGAAACGAUGAUUAAUACCAGAUACUCCCUACGGGGGAAAGAUUUAUCGCUAAGAGAUCAGCCUAUGUCCUAUCAGCUUGUUGGUAAGGUAAUGGCUUACCAAGGCUAUGACGGGUAUCCGGCCUGAGAGGGUGAACGGACACACUGGAACUGAGACACGGUCCAGACUCCUACGGGAGGCAGCAGUAGGGAAUAUUGCUCAAUGGGGGAAACCCUGAAGCAGCAACGCCGCGUGGAGGAUGAAGGUUUUAGGAUUGUAAACUCCUUUUGUUAGAGAAGAUAAUGACGGUAUCUAACGAAUAAGCACCGGCUAACUCCGUGCCAGCAGCCGCGGUAAUACGGAGGGUGCAAGCGUUACUCGGAAUCACUGGGCGUAAAGAGCGCGUAGGCGGGAUAGUCAGUCAGGUGUGAAAUCCUAUGGCUUAACCAUAGAACUGCAUUUGAAACUACUAUUCUAGAGUGUGGGAGAGGUAGGUGGAAUUCUUGGUGUAGGGGUAAAAUCCGUAGAGAUCAAGAGGAAUACUCAUUGCGAAGGCGACCUGCUAGAACAUUACUGACGCUGAUUGCGCGAAAGCGUGGGGAGCAAACAGGAUUAGAUACCCUGGUAGUCCACGCCCUAAACGAUGGAUGCUAGUUGUUGGAGGGCUUAGUCUCUCCAGUAAUGCAGCUAACGCAUUAAGCAUCCCGCCUGGGGAGUACGGUCGCAAGAUUAAAACUCAAAGGAAUAGACGGGGACCCGCACAAGCGGUGGAGCAUGUGGUUUAAUUCGAAGAUACACGAAGAACCUUACCUAGGCUUGACAUUGAGAGAAUCCGCUAGAAAUAGUGGAGUGUCUGGCUUGCUAGACCUUGAAAACAGGUGCUGCACGGCUGUCGUCAGCUCGUGUCGUGAGAUGUUGGGUUAAGUCCCGCAACGAGCGCAACCCCCUUUCUUAGUUGCUAACAGGUUAUGCUGAGAACUCUAAGGAUACUGCCUCCGUAAGGAGGAGGAAGGUGGGGACGACGUCAAGUCAUCAUGGCCCUUACGCCUAGGGCUACACACGUGCUACAAUGGGGUGCACAAAGAGAAGCAAUACUGCGAAGUGGAGCCAAUCUUCAAAACACCUCUCAGUUCGGAUUGUAGGCUGCAACUCGCCUGCAUGAAGCUGGAAUCGCUAGUAAUCGCAAAUCAGCCAUGUUGCGGUGAAUACGUUCCCGGGUCUUGUACUCACCGCCCGUCACACCAUGGGAGUUGUGUUUGCCUUAAGUCAGGAUGCUAAAUUGGCUACUGCCCACGGCACACACAGCGACUGGGGUGAAGUCGUAACAAGGUAACCGUAGGUGAACCUGCGGUUG